rnacentral:rRNA from 1 species
AGAGUUUGAUCCUGGCUCAGGACGAACGCUGGCGGCGUGCCUAAUACAUGCAAGUAGAACGCACAGGAUGCACCGUAGUUUACUACACCGUAUUCUGUGAGUUGCGAACGGGUGAGUAACGCGUAGGUAACCUGCCUGGUAGCGGGGGAUAACUGUUGGAAACGAUAGCUAAUACCGCAUAAGAACAUUUACUGCAUGGUAGAUGUUUAAAAGGUGCAAAUGCAUCACUACCAGAUGGACCUGCGUUGUAUUAGCUAGUAGGUGAGGUAACGGCUCACCUAGGCGACGAUACAUAGCCGACCUGAGAGGGUGAUCGGCCACACUGGGACUGAGACACGGCCCAGACUCCUACGGGAGGCAGCAGUAGGGAAUCUUCGGCAAUGGGGGGAACCCUGACCGAGCAACGCCGCGUGAGUGAAGAAGGUUUUCGGAUCGUAAAGCUCUGUUGUUAAGGAAGAACGAGUGUGAGAAUGGAAAGUUCAUACUGUGACGGUACUUAACCAGAAAGG